GCGGGACACCAGCGGCGCCAGCCUCCCGACGCGCGGCCGGUUACCUUCCUCGUAGCCCCAGUCCACACCCUCCUCCUCUUCCUCCUCAUCCUCCUCCUUCUCCGGGAAGGGCACGGAAUCUUCGAUGAAGCUCAGGAACCAGUCAUCAUGGAAGAAACUCUACCACCCCAAGCCCGCCAUGCUGUGAGGAAGCCCAAGCCAGCCACGUGACAACACCUGGAGCAGCACAGAGGCACAGGUGACUGAGACCUUCCAGCCCAGCUUAGCCGCCAGCCGAAUGCAGCCAGAUGUCUCAUAAAUAGCUCUUUUCAAGUGCCUGAAGUUAACUUGGGUUUUUCCCAGAGUGAAACAAUGGGGAGACGGCUCUGAAAGCAACAGGUAAGUGAA